CAGGUCCAACUUCAGCAGUCUGGACCAGAGCUGGUAAUACCUGGGGCUUAGGUGAAGUUGUCCUGCAAGGCUUCUGGCUACAAUUUUAAUGACUAUGAAAUUCAAUGGGUGAAGCAGAGUCUGAAGCAGGGACUGGAAUGGAUUGGAGCUAUUCAUCCUGAAAAUGGUGGUAUUACCUACAAUCAGAAGUUCAAAGGCAAGGCCACAUUUACUGUAGACACAUCCUCCAACACAGCCUACAUGCAACUCAGAAGCCUGACAUCUGAGGACACUGCUGACUAUUAUUGUGAGAGA